ensembl:lncRNA
UCGUGGGCGUGGAGAAGCAGCGAUUGGUGCUGGGGCGGGCGGUGUUUUGAGUGCGCGCGCGCGCAGGCGGGAGCGCGUACGUCGGCAGCGCGGAAGUUAGGGUCUCGAGGAGGCUGCCACCGGCUGAUCCUUCCUCCGGCGGCCGCCCUCCGUGGCCAGUUGUCGGACUCCGGGAAGUAGGCGCUGAGGGCUCGCCCCCUGCGUAUGUGAGCGCUUCUGUCUCUCUGGCGGCUACGCACGGCUGUCGCUCUGGAGAGACUGAGGAGGAAACGGGGGUGGGAGGGGAUUGCGACUGCAGUGGGACGCGGGAGCGGCGGAAGCACCGCGCUGGAGCGGUCCGGUGGCGUCGCCGGGCUUCCUUGCCCUCCCUCCGCCCGGCCGGGCUGGCUCGGAUCCCCGGGUCGAGCGCGCUGCUGCGUCACACCAGGCAGCCAGGCCGCCACUGUUGAGCAUCUCCGGCCGCCUCCCACGCCCGGGCGAGUGCACGGCCCGAGCUCCCGAGCCGAAGCGAAAGAAUGCGAGCUCAGGUCCCUCCCUGGAGGGCGGAUUAAAGGAUGCCGCGACGAAUCGCAAAAGAACAAAAGCUCUCCAGGGACGCUGGAUAACUUCAAAGCUUAUCCCACACAGUUUGUCUUGGGCAAGACAAAGACGCCAUCAUGGCUAUUUUCUUGCUGCCAAACAACCAGGCUUCCAGCUGGAUGGACUAAAAGUGUUUUGCAACCUUACUUGAAGAUGAUUGUAGACCCAACUGCUUGAUCGCAGCCCUAUGAGACCCGCA